AGCCUAUGCGACAGGCUUCAUUGCCUCCUUCAUCUUCUAAAUCAAAGGUGAGCUUGAACUUGAAGAAAAGACGCUGUCGAAGUGUGCCUUCGGAGGCCCAUGAAAGUUCCUAAAUCCAGUGUAGUAAUCUUUGCGUAUUGUCGUGGUGAUAACAGUAAGGAAAUUGUACUAAAACUUUGUAAAGUCCACUGCAAUCAGCUGUUGUAAUUUUA